rnacentral:lncRNA from 1 species
UCACAGCCUCAGUCGUUCGAGGAUUUUUCCUUAGAACCUAAUUAAUAAUUGUUUGCGGAAACCCCUGCAAUUUCACAGAAACUGCAAAUUGUUUUUUUGUUGUUUUUUUUUUUUUUGACAGGAGGUUUGCAAGUAGCCAAUCCGAGAGCGUUAUUCAGUUCUCCUUGCUGCUGAUUGGCUGCUGGGUUGUAACCCAUCUGGGACAGAUGGACCAGCAUUUCCACAUCAUAACAAGUACCUUCUGCUGACAAAGUUGGGCAUCAUCCUAGGAGAGUAUCAACAGGGACUUGCUCCAGGAUCACACAGCAGGCAAAGGAGAAGAUCAUUUUAAAGAACCACUGUAAGGACUCUUAGAACAAGAUGAGAAGGUGAUGGUUCUGAGCAGAAGACUGAUAGAAUCUUACUCAUACUUUUAACAAAAUGAUUCUGGUUGCUGAUUGAGAAGAAACUUAAGAAAGACAGGUAGCCCAUUAGGAGGUUACUAUGGUAAUAUUGCAAUAAUAAGUCACCACAUGUUUAACAUUUAUGUAAUAAAGAUAUUCUUAUUGG